UUUUCUGCCUAAAGUCUGCACCUACCAAAGAUGAAAAGAAUUGCCUUUAGCCCCUUCUCUGAGUUUUCAUUAACUGAAUCCAUAUUAUAGGAAAAAAGACUAGUGUCUGCCCACACACCUGAUGGACUUUUGUCACAAACCAUUGUCCAUUCUCUGGGCCCAACAAGCUUUGCCCCAGGCCAUUGUAUGUUCUUCAAGCCCAUUGAAUUCCCCUAAACAUCAUUUACUACUCCUCUAAAAUCAUCCACACUUCCCCAUCGCCCUUUCCCCUGAGAAGAAGGGUAUCUUCCUCUGAAGCAAGUUAGAGAAAAAAAAAGAAUUAGACCAUAUAAGCCUCUACACCCCACUGGGGGGUUGGGUCUUCACCCUAAAGCCUCCCUUAUCACGUUAACUCUAAUAAAAUAAAUGUGUAUGUUCUUCCUCCACUGAAUCUGUCUUUUGUGAGUCGAAUUUUCAGCAAAUCUUCAGAGGGCAACAGUGGAGUUUUUUCCUUCACCCGAACAGUGGCCAUUUUCAUUGUGAAUCUGGCAUGGUUAGACGCGAUGCUGAGCUUUUUACAUGGCUUAGCUCUCCAAACUAUAAAAUAGGUGUUUUUAUCCUUAUUUUAUAGACAAGGAAGCUGAUGCCCAGAAACAUUAUUGAGGCUGUAGUGAAUUGUGAUUGUGUUGCUGUACUCCAACCUGGGCAACAGAGUGAGACCCUGUCUCAACAACAAUAAAAAAGAGAUCAAAGGGAAUGCCUUAGUCCCUUUUCCCCUUUCACUUUUAUGCCAUGUGAGGACACACAAGAGCACCUAUCUUGGAAGCAAAGAUGGAGCCCUCACCAGACACCAAAUCUGCUGGCUUUGAUCUUAGAGCUCUCAGCCUCCAGAGCUAUGAAAAAUAAAUAUCUGGGCCAGUGGCAGUGACUCGCACCUAUAAUCCCAGCGCUUUGGGAGGCUGAGACAGGUGGAUUGCUUGAACCUGGGAGGCAGAGGUUGCAGUGAGCCGAAAUCACGCCAUUGCACUCCAGCCUGGGC
rnacentral:lncRNA from 10 species